rnacentral:rRNA from 1 species
UACGUAGGGUGCAAGCGUUGUCCGGAAUUAUUGGGCGUAAAGAGCUCGCAGGCGGUCUGUCGCGUCGGCUGUGAAAUCCCGGGGCUCAACCCCGGGCCUGCAGUCGAUACGGGCAGACUAGAGUGCUGUAGGGGAGACUGGAAUUCCUGGUGUAGCGGUGAAAUGCGCAGAUAUCAGGAGGAACACCGGUGGCGAAGGCGGGUCUCUGGGCAGUGACUGACGCUGAGGAGCGAAAGCGUGGGGAGCGAACAGG